rnacentral:rRNA from 1 species
GACGAACGCUGGCGGCGUGCUUAACACAUGCAAGUCGAACGGUAAGGCCCCUUCGGGGGUCCACGAGUGGCGCACGGGUGAGUAACACGUGAGCAACCUGCCCUUGACUCUGGAAUAACAGUUGGAAACAGCUGCUAAUACUGGAUAUUCAUCGUCUCCUUCCUGGGGGGUGGUGGAAAGCUCCGGCGGUCAGGGAUGGGCUCGCGGCCUAUCAGCUUGUUGGUGAGGUAAUGGCUCACCAAGGCUUCGACGGGUAGCCGGCCUGAGAGGGCGACCGGCCACACUAGGACUGAGAUACGGCCCAGACUCCUACGGGAGGCAGCAGUGGGGAAUAUUGCACAAUGGGCGCAAGCCUGAUGCAGCAACGCCGCGUGCGGGAUGACGGCCUUCGGGUUGUAAACCGCUUUCAGUAGGGACGAAGGGUGACUGACGGUACCUACAGAAGAAGGACCGGCUAACUACGUG